rnacentral:rRNA from 1 species
GACGAACCACACAAACGUUAUUCGGAAUUACUGGGCUUAAAGGGUGCGUAGGCGGCGCAGAAAGUAGGGUGUGAAAUCCCUCGGCUCAACCGAGGAACUGCGCCCUAAACUACUGUGCUCGAGGGAGGUAGAGGUGAGCGGAACUUAGGGUGGAGCGGUGAAAUGCGUUGAUAUCCUAAGGAACACCGGUGGCGAAAGCGGCUCACUGGACCUCUUCUGACGCUGAGGCACGAAAGCUAGGGUAGCGAACAGG